rnacentral:rRNA from 1 species
AGCGUAGGCGGAUAGUUAAGUCAGAGGUGAAAGCCCAGGGCUCAACCUUGGAAUUGCCUUUGAUACUGGCUAUCUUGAGUAUGGGAGAGGUGUGUGGAACUCCGAGUGUAGAGGUGAAAUUCGUAGAUAUUCGGAAGAACACCAGUGGCGAAGGCGACACACUGGCCCAUUACUGACGCUGAGGCUCGAAAGCGUGGGGAGCAAACAGGAUUAGAUACCCUGGUAGUCCACGCCGUAAACGAUGAGAGCUAGUUGUCGGCAUGCAUGCAUGUCGGUGACGCAGCUAACGCAUUAAGCUCUCCGCCUGGGGAGUACGGUCGCAAGAUUAAA